UACGGAGGGUGCAAGCGUUAAUCGGAAUUACUGGGCGUAAAGCGCGCGUAGGUGGUUUUGUAAGUCGGAUGUGAAAGCCCCGGGCUUAACCUGGGAACUGCAUUCGAUACUGCAGAACUAGAGUAUGGAAGAGGGAAGUGGAAUUCCGGGUGUAGCGGUGAAAUGCGUAGAUAUCCGGAGGAACACCAGUGGCGAAGGCGACUUCCUGGUCCAAUACUGACGCUGAGGUGCGAAAGCGUGGGGAG
rnacentral:rRNA from 1 species